CACACUGCCAAAGUUAAAGAAUCUGUGUUUAGGGCCCCCAAAUCCAAAUUUUAUAUAGGCCUCUUUUCAUCCCAUCAGAUAUACUACUCUUUCUUGCCUGAUAAGAGAAAGAAGCCUAGACCAAUGAAAUUAAGCCCACCCUGGAAGGAAAGGUGGCCCCUUUAAGAACAUGGAAUGGUCUGGAACCCUUGAUUCUGCCCACUAUGACAGCACGAAGCAAAGGUCAGAGCGACUGGCCAUAGGCACAAGUGAAGCUUUCUUGCCAGUCUUCGUUGAACUCACACUUCAAAAAUCAUGGUUUUCUUUCUUUGUUUUAUCGUGGUUUUCUGUCUUAUUAUAAAGAAGAUUGCAGAAAAGAGGCAGAGAAGGAGAGAUGAAAGACCAAAAAAGAGUAUCUAAACAACAGAGGACGAAUACUGGAAUCUCUGGAACUCAUCCCUUCAGAGGUUCCUUCCCAGAAGAACUGUAUCUCCACUACCUCGGUUCUCUGGAAUAAAUUACAACCUUAUGAUUCAUGAGUCCAAAGAGGACAGUCUUUACAUCUAUCCAUCUUAUAACUGAUGUGGUUCUCAAGGAACAAAAAACCUAAGCAAAUUAAGGGAACAAGCAUUUAUCAAUCAUGCAAAUGAAGCCACUCUUUGUAUGUAUUAUGCAUCUCAAUCUCUAUAUAUGGUUAUCAACGUAAUAAUUCAAGUAAAGAGUUUUUCUACACCAGGAGUUCCAAAGUCAAGCUACAUUCAAAGAGAGAAACAACACACUGGAUACUCACAUUAUGAAGAGUCAGACAUUCCUUAUAGGAUAGAACAUGUGCAAUUGAAAUCUAACUAUUAAGUCUUCUGUGGAAAAAAAACGUAUAUGUGUACUAUAUGGCCAUCUGAUCAUUUUAAAAGCAUACUCAGAAUACUUUAAGAAAACACUAUGAGUAUGAAUUAUCUAUGCUCUAAACACUUUACUUCUCUUUCUGCGUUUAUGCCAUCACUUCUUAUCCCUUUAUACCUUGAACUUUUUCUUUACCCCUCUCUCACUCUAUGACUCCUGAACAAAAUUUUCAUUUCCAAUAUCCAGCUUCAUUAACUAAGAAGGGAUGGCAAAUGUUUAUUAUCACCAGAAUGCAGCAUAACACUUGCAUACUGGUUUAUGACAUGCAUCUUUAUAAAGUGCUCAGUGAAAUGCAUAAACGAUUGAUUGCAAAUUGGUCAAAGAGAAUACUGAGUACUUUAUUAGUUACUGGCUAAAGCUAAGGAGUUACACAAAAGCAUCAUAUCUAAAUAAGGAAUUUCAUUUGAAAUAUGUAAUUUCAUUAUGAAUAAAUUCCAUAAAAUAAACUAAGAAUUGCUAAAUGAUUUCUGUAAACGGACUGGAGCUG